rnacentral:rRNA from 1 species
CAGAGGGUGCAAGCGUUAAUCGGAAUUACUGGGCGUAAAGGGCGCGUAGGUGGUUAUGUAAGUGAGAUGUGAAAUCCCUGGGCUUAACCUAGGAACUGCAUCUUAUACUGUAUGACUAGAGUACUGUAGAGGGUAGUGGAAUUUCCGGUGUAGCGGUGAAAUGCGUAGAGAUCGGAAGGAACACCAGUGGCGAAGGCGGCUACCUGGACAGAUACUGACACUGAGGCGCGAGAGCGUGGGGAGCAAACAGGAUUAGAUACCCUGGUAGUCCACGCUGUAAACGAUGAGAACUAGAUGUUGGUAGGCUUGACCUAUUAGUAUCGAAGCUAACGCGAUAAGUUCUCCGCCUGGGGAGUACGACCGCAAGGUUA